GGGCCUCCAUGAUGUCCAGCACUGGGCUCUGAUCCCCACUGAGGACACUGUGCCCUCUGGGACUUUGACACUCAGGGGUCUGAGAGGCCC
rnacentral:snoRNA from 1 species